AGCGAUGUGACGCAGUGGAAGCGUGCAGGGCUCAUAACCCUGAAGACCGUAGAUCGAAACUACGCAUCGCUA
rfam:Tortispora caseinolytica NRRL Y-17796 unplaced genomic scaffold CANCAscaffold_3, whole genome shotgun sequence.